rnacentral:rRNA from 1 species
UACGUAGGGUGCAAGCGUUGUCCGGAAUUAUUGGGCGUAAAGAGCUCGUAGGCGGUCUGUCGCGUCGGCUGUGAAAACCUGGGGCUCAACCCCGGGCCUGCAGCCGAUACGGGCAGACUAGGAUUCGGUAGGGGAGACUGGAAUUCCUGGUGUAGCGGUGAAAUGCGCAGAUAUCAGGAGGAACACCGGUGGCGAAGGCGGGUCUCUGGGCCGAUAUUGACGCUGAGGAGCGAAAGCGUGGGGAGCGAACAGG